rnacentral:rRNA from 1 species
UUAAGUUAUUAAGGGCGCACGGUGGAUGCCUUGGCACUAGAAGCCGAUGAAGGACGUUACUAACGACGAUAUGCUUUGGGGAGCUGUAAGUAAGCUUUGAUCCAGAGAUUUCCGAAUGGGGAAACCCAGCAUGAGUUAUGUCAUGUUAUCGAUAUGUGAAUACAUAGCAUAUCAGAAGGCACACCCGGAGAACUGAAACAUCUUAGUACCCGGAGGAAGAGAAAGAAAAUUCGAUUCCCUUAGUAGCGGCGAGCGAAACGGGAAGAGCCCAAACCAACAAGCUUGCUUGUUGGGGUUGUAGGACACUCUAUACGGAGUUACAAAGGACGACAUUAGACGAAUCAUCUGGAAAGAUGAAUCAAAGAAGGUAAUAAUCCUGUAGUCGAAAAUGUUGUCUCUCUUGAGUGGAUCCUGAGUACGACGGAGCACGUGAAAUUCCGUCGAAAUCUGGGAGGACCAUCUCCUAAGGCUAAAUACUCUCUAGUGACCGAUAGUGAACCAGUACCGUGAGGGAAAGGUGAAAAGCACCCCGGAAGGGGAGUGAAAUAGAACCUGAAACCGUGUGCUUACAAGUAGUCAGAGCCCGUUAAUGGGUGAUGGCGUGCCUUUUGUAGAAUGAACCGGCGAGUUACGAUUUGAUGCAAGGUUAAGCAGUAAAUGUGGAGCCGUAGCGAAAGCGAGUCUGAAUAGGGCGUUUAGUAUUUGGUCGUAGACCCGAAACCAGGUGAUCUACCCUUGGUCAGGUUGAAGUUCAGGUAACACUGAAUGGAGGACCGAACCGACUUACGUUGAAAAGUGAGCGGAUGAACUGAGGGUAGCGGAGAAAUUCCAAUCGAACCUGGAGAUAGCUGGUUCUCUCCGAAAUAGCUUUAGGGCUAGCCUCAAGUGAUGAUUAUUGGAGGUAGAGCACUGUUUGGACGAGGGGCCCCUCUCGGGUUACCGAAUUCAGACAAACUCCGAAUGCCAAUUAAUUUAACUUGGGAGUCAGAACAUGGGUGAUAAGGUCCGUGUUCGAAAGGGAAACAGCCCAGACCACCAGCUAAGGUCCCAAAAUAUAUGUUAAGUGGAAAAGGAUGUGGCGUUGCCCAGACAACUAGGAUGUUGGCUUAGAAGCAGCCAUCAUUUAAAGAGUGCGUAAUAGCUCACUAGUCGAGUGACACUGCGCCGAAAAUGUACCGGGGCUAAACAUAUUACCGAAGCUGUGGAUUGUCCUUUGGACAAUGGUAGGAGAGCGUUCUAAGGGCGUUGAAGCAUGAUCGUAAGGACAUGUGGAGCGCUUAGAAGUGAGAAUGCCGGUGUGAGUAGCGAAAGACGGGUGAGAAUCCCGUCCACCGAUUGACUAAGGUUUCCAGAGGAAGGCUCGUCCGCUCUGGGUUAGUCGGGUCCUAAGCUGAGGCCGACAGGCGUAGGCGAUGGAUAACAGGUUGAUAUUCCUGUACCACCUAUAAUCGUUUUAAUCGAUGGGGGGACGCAGUAGGAUAGGCGAAGCGUGCGAUUGGAUUGCACGUCUAAGCAGUAAGGCUGAGUAUUAGGCAAAUCCGGUACUCAUUAAGGCUGAGCUGUGAUGGGGAGAAGACAUUGUGUCUUCGAGUCGUUGAUUUCACACUGCCGAGAAAAGCCUCUAGAUAGAAAAUAGGUGCCCGUACCGCAAACCGACACAGGUAGUCAAGAUGAGAAUUCUAAGGUGAGCGAGCGAACUCUCGUUAAGGAACUCGGCAAAAUGACCCCGUAACUUCGGGAGAAGGGGUGCUCUUUAGGGUUAACGCCCAGAAGAGCCGCAGUGAAUAGGCCCAAGCGACUGUUUAUCAAAAACACAGGUCUCUGCUAAACCGUAAGGUGAUGUAUAGGGGCUGACGCCUGCCCGGUGCUGGAAGGUUAAGAGGAGUGGUUAGCUUCUGCGAAGCUACGAAUCGAAGCCCCAGUAAACGGCGGCCGUAACUAUAACGGUCCUAAGGUAGCGAAAUUCCUUGUCGGGUAAGUUCCGACCCGCACGAAAGGCGUAACGAUUUGGGCACUGUCUCAACGAGAGACUCGGUGAAAUCAUAGUACCUGUGAAGAUGCAGGUUACCCGCGACAGGACGGAAAGACCCCGUGGAGCUUUACUGUAGCCUGAUAUUGAAAUUCGGCACAGCUUGUACAGGAUAGGUAGGAGCCUUUGAAACGUGAGCGCUAGCUUACGUGGAGGCGCUGGUGGGAUACUACCCUAGCUGUGUUGGCUUUCUAACCCGCACCACUUAUCGUGGUGGGAGACAGUGUCAGGCGGGCAGUUUGACUGGGGCGGUCGCCUCCUAAAAGGUAACGGAGGCGCUCAAAGGUUCCCUCAGAAUGGUUGGAAAUCAUUCAUAGAGUGUAAAGGCAUAAGGGAGCUUGACUGCGAGACCUACAAGUCGAGCAGGGUCGAAAGACGGACUUAGUGAUCCGGUGGUUCCACAUGGAAGGGCCAUCGCUCAACGGAUAAAAGCUACCCCGGGGAUAACAGGCUUAUCUCCCCCAAGAGUUCACAUCGACGGGGAGGUUUGGCACCU